rnacentral:lncRNA from 1 species
GCAUGCUUUCCACUGAAAUCUUCCUACCGUGCACCGCGUCGCGCGGAGGUGUAGCCCUUCGGCGUCGCGCAGAGCCCGUCGUGUCAACACCAUUGGAAAUGCCCGUUAUUCGCCUCCUUCCUUCCCAUGACUGGUUGAGCUAUUUUAUGUGCAGUCAAAGAUCGAGAGUAAGGGCAAAUUAGCAGACGCAUGCACCGACCAUACAUACGUCUUGCUAUAGACAAUGCUACAUGGAUGUACGUAGCGACAUGUGUGUGGAUGUGUGUCAAGUAAAAGAUCCGGAUCUGGCUAUUUCUAAUGAGUAAUGCUACGUCUAUAAAGGCUUAUUUAAAGAUUUUACGUAUAAACAGAUGUGUAAGAUUGUGAUUGGUAAUUGAGAGAUGAGAGGCCCCAUCCGCACUGAAAAUCAAGGGGUGAGACAAGAAUUAGUUUGGAGCAAUGAUACACUUACAUAAGUUUAUAUGUGAUUUACAAACAAGUGGAUUUUGAUUGGGGAUUAAAAAGAAUGAGGGUACCACCCCAGUUGAAAAUCAAGGGAAGAAUGGUUAGUUAGAAAGAAAGAAAUUUAAUCAGUGUGUAACCUUAUUAACUAUUUGUAUGUCUAGCAUUUUUGAUUAGUUAGGAAGGAGUAAGUCUUUGUAGGUCUACCAUUAUGACCACCUUGGUUUUCCCGUAUGCAGACGUAGGAAGGCCACAAAACCGGAGGUCCGGCAACGAUCGAUGACACCUUGACAGACGGUAGCCACAUGCGUUCCACAGAAAAAUCUCUCCCGCCGGCCGGCCGUCGCCGGCCGUUGUGUGUUGAGCUGUGGAUCGUCGGCGUGGACGUAAUAUGGAGUAUGGACCAGACCGUACGAACGGCACCCAUCACAUGGAAUAUGGAUUAUGGUGCGUGCCGGCCGGUUGAUGCAACCACAUGCAUGCGCCGUGUGGGGCGCGUGGCCGUGUGGGGGUGAGCUCGUGGAUCACGCGGCCGCGUACACCGGCAGUGAAACUUGGACAGUCACUGCUGCCCUCGUUCGGUGGCGGGUCUAGCCUGGGUUUAUGGACAUUGAUAAUGCUAGGCUGGUGGUCGAGGGACCAGCCUCUUGGAACGGAAGGUAGGCUCACGCUGAGUGGCACUUCUCGUGGCGCAGCUUCUUCGAUCGAUCACUCACCGGUGGGUACACUACAACCUACAGGUUACUAAGAGUACUGCGGAGAACACGCGUGCAUGAUCACUUGCGGGUCACUAGCAUAACAAUGUCCUCUUCUUCGGGCAAAUCAAAUUUCUCGUCUGACGAUGAAUCGUCGAUGAAUGAUGAUUCAACCGAGUUCAUCUAUAAUCCAGACAACCACCGUCAAACAUACUUUCCAAUCUUAAUUUAAAUCAUCAAGUUUUGUUUUUUUUACCAUGGGAAAUUCCGUCGAACACCUUGUGUGUGGGGUGGAAGAAGAUGGCUGGCGGUUGGAUUGGUCGCUGCUGUGGAUGGCUGCGGACAGCGGCGCGGAGCAGAAGGAAGCACGGCGGCCGGCAGAGCGGAGCUAUAUGGGUUGUCGGUCCGUCGGAGUCGACGAAUCCAGACGCGGUUGCUUUCCGAAACGGCGGCGCCGAGGCGGCUGCGAGACGCCCUCCGUCGGGGGAGGCGAUGCGGGCGGGCGGCGGAUGGCGGCGGCGACUUAUGCGGUGCCGGCGGCGACUUUCGGCGGCUGGUGCUCGGUCGCGGGCGGGUGAUCGCGAGGUGGAAGGGGAAUUGACUGGCGUUUGGUCGUUUAACACGCGACCGCGGUUUUACAUUAACUGUAUCUCAUCAUGUAAAUUUACAUCAUGAAGAUAUAUUUUUUUUACAUAUAGACCAUCUAUCGAAGCAGCUUUUUUUGCUUGCGAAGAUUAAAAAUUAAGUAUUUUCACAUAUAAACCGUUCAUUAAAGAUGCUCUUACACAGAGGUGUAGUAUAAGUAUAAGUAAAUAUGCAUGCGUACGUGCCGGGUUAGCCCUGGCGGCUUGAGCGUGCGGCCGCCUAGCUGCGCUACACGUCUUCAUUUUCCGACUCUCUUUGUAGUACAGACACGGCAAGCUUGUACAAUCAAUGUAGUAAUUGACUAUGCAAUUCACUAUUUCCGAGUGGACUGUAAAUAUAGUUUUAUUUUUCAGGUGACUUUAAAUACGGUUAUCUCCUCAUCCUCGCAAGAAAAUGGGUAUCUUCCAGUGAAGAAUUAUAGGUGUCUAAGACCAUCUUUAGCAGACUUCAUAUAAUGGUUAAACCCAUAAAAAACGCGUGUUUAAAAUUUCGGUCGAAAACACGGCGCGGAGCAGAUUCCGUAAAAUUUGUUUGGUCCGUAAAUUUUCUAAGGGGUAUGAUAAAUCUAUCCGCGAAAACGUUAUAUGUGCUGUUUUGAAGACAAUAUACAGUUCAACCUUUAAAGUGCUCAAAUCUCGUCGGAGCAAAUGCGCCGCCGCGAAAUUGGCUAGAAUGUACCUGAAACUUAUCGGAAUCUGUCCACGCAUGUCGGAAGAAGCCGCCGCACGCCACAAUUUAUCGCCGCCGGUCCGAAUUACGGCCAGCUCGACCUCCACUGUCGGGGCGAGGUCGUCCACCUGCAAGGCGGAGCAGGCUACCGACGGCCGAAAUCAGGGGGGCACAGGAGAAGAGCGAGGCAAGGGUGGGGAAGCUCGUGCGGCCACCUCGGGGAACGCGUGUGCAGCAACUGGAGUGCCGGGCUGAAAUCAGGGACGGGUGAGCGCGCUAGGGAGCGCGCGGUCGGGGGUGCGCGACGCAAGGCUCCUCCAGUGCAUGCGUGGCUCGGAACGGGCGGGCACUGGGACGAGGCGGGGGCGAGGAGAGCGGCGCCAUGGUGAGCGGGGGUGCCAGAGCGAGGCACGCCGUGGCCGGAGAUGGUUCACCGGGACAGGAGGUAAAAAAUGACUUAUAAUGGGAUAUAAUUUUAUUUACAGGGUCUGCUCUCUCGAGGCAAUUUCAUUGUGUCAAAACGGUUUAAAGUGGUUUCUAAAGUUCGACUUUUACAGGGUUUACUAGCGAUGAAGCUUUAAUUAAGAUAUUUUAACUCAUUGUACUUGUAUAGGAAUCCCGCUAUACGAGUGAUAAGAUUCGUUGGCUCUUAGCACAACACUGAAGAAGAAUUUGGUCUGUAAAAUAGUACUCUAUCUGUUCAAAAAUAAGUUUUGUUGAUCUGUCAUAAAUUUAUACUAAUUUAUUAUUAAAUAUAUGUUAUUUAUUUUGGGAAAGAGGGAGUAAAAAAUAACUAUGUUAUACUCCAUCCAUUUUUAAAUAUAAGUCAUUUUCAAGAUUUUAGUAGGAACUACAUAUGGUUGUAUAUAGAUAUAUUUUAAAAUAUAAAUUUAUUUAUUUUGCUUUGUAUGUAGUCACCUAAUAUUAUUUAAAAAAACUAUAUUUGGGAACGGAUAUAUAGGUUACACUAUAAGUUACUCACCACUAUGGCCUAUGGGAAUAUGAAUAGCGUAAGGAAAAUUCGUAUGGAUUGGAGGCGGUCGGCAUGGUCUUCAACGAUACCAUUGCACCACCGCACCAUGAAAAUGAACUGCCAAUUAAAGUCUCUUCUCUUUGAGCUUCAGAAGACACGCCCAAGCAACUGCCAAUUUGUCACACCACCGCACUGUGAAGUCAGCUGCCAUCAGCUCGAAAAUGACAUCUAAGGGAACCCCAGAAUCAACCAUUCAUUUCACAACAUUUUCAUAAAAAAGGACGUCCAUCUCACUGAUAAAAGGUGGGAAAAAUUAUUGGAACACGUACGUCAUGACCCCAUUAUUUGAACGUAGAGAUCAUACUAAGACCAGAAGGAACUCGAAGCAUGCUUUCCACUGAAAUCUUCCUACCGUGCACCGCGUCGCGCGGAGGUGUAGCCCUUCGGCUUCGCGCAGAGCCCGUCUUGUCGACACCACCGGAAAUGCCCGCUAUUCGCCUCCUUCCUUCCCAUGAUCGAUUGAGCUAUUUUAUGUGCGGGCGGAGGGUCCGGGAGAAGAUCGAGAGCAAGGGCAAACUAGCAGACGCAUGCACCGACCAUACGUCUUGCUAUAGAAAAUGUUGCAUGGACGUACGUAUCGACAUGUGUGUGUCAAGUAAAAGAUCUGGCUCUGGCUAUUUCUAAUUGUGGCCAGCGCUGGUUUUUUCCAUAUGCAGACGUAGGAAGGCGACGAAACCGGAGCUGCCGGCGACGAUAACACCUGGACGAACGGUAACCACAUGCGCUCCACGGAAAAAUCUCUCCCACCGGCCGGCCGUUG